UAGCCGAGUUGAGAGACUGAUCGGCCACAUUGGGACUGAGACACGGCCCAAACUCCUACGGGAGGCAGCAGUAGGGAAAUCUUCCACAAUGGACGCAAGUCUGAUGGAGCAACGCCGCGUGAGUGAAGAAGGGUUUCGGCUCGUAAAGCUCUGUUGUUGGUGAAGAAGGACAGGGGUAGUAACUGACCUUUGUUUGACGGUAAUCAAUUAGAAAGUCACGGCUAACUACGUGCCCAGCAGCCGCGGGUAAU
rnacentral:rRNA from 1 species